GAUGAAGAACGCAGCGAAAUGCGAUAAGUAAUGUGAAUUGCAGAAUUCAGUGAAUCAUCGAAUCUUUGAACGCACAUUGCGCCCCUUGGUAUUCCGAGGGGCAUGCCUGUUCGAGCGUCAUUAUAACCCUCAAGCUCAGCUUGGUGUUGGGGCCUGCUGCACUGGCAGCCCUUAAAAUCAGUGGCGGCGCCAUCUGGCUCUAAGCAUAGUAAUUCUUCUCGCUAUGGAGUCCUGGUGGAUGCUUGCCAUCAACCCCCAAUUUUUCUAUGGUUGACCUCGGAUCAGGUAGGGAUACCCGCUGAACUUAAGCAUAUCAAUAAGCGAGGA
rnacentral:misc_RNA from 1 species